GAUGAAGAACGUAGCGAAAUGCGAUAAGUAGUGUGAAUUGCAGAAUUCAGUGAAUCAUCGAAUCUUUGAACGCACAUUGCGCCCCUUGGUAUCCCGAAGGGCAUGCCUGUUCGAGCGUCAUUAUCACCCCUCAAGCCCUCGGCUUGGUGUUGGACGGUUUGGUGGAGGCCCCCUCGGGGGCUCCUGCCCCUCCCAAAGACAAUGACGGCGGCCUCGUUGGACCCCCGGUACACUGAGUUCUUCACGGGACACGUAUCGGACACAUGGGUUUACGGGACACGGUCUGCCUCCCCUCAGGGAGAAUCUUUCUAAGGUUGACCUCGGAUCAGGUAGGGAUACCCGCUGAACUUAAGCAUAUCAAUAAGCGGAGG
rnacentral:misc_RNA from 1 species